GUCGAAUAAGUAUGGCUGAUUCUACGGAUAAUACACCUAGUAAUAGCAAUGAUCCAUCAAUUGGCACAGAAAUAACAAAAAAAAAGAAAUGGAUCCUAGAUCUCCUGUUUGGCAACACUUUGAAAAGGUUUUUGAAAAUGGUGUAUUAGUUAAAGCAAAGUGCUUAUAUUGUAAACAAUAUUAUGCUGCCAAUACAACAAGAAAUGGAACAAGUGGACUAAAAUAACAAUUGACUUAUCGGUGUAAAGUGCAUAAACCUCCGACUGUUGCACCCGGUAUUAAAAAAAUUAUUAAAUAUUCAAAAUAACAAUUUAGAGACUUGGAAAUUUGAGCAAGAGGUAUGUAGGAGAGAUUUAGUUGAGAUGAUUAUUUUGGAUGAACUACCUUUUAGUUUUGUUGAAAAAGAAGGCUUUAAGAAGUUUAUGAGUAAAUUCCAGCCUUUGUUUCAUAUUCCUUCUCGUAGAACCAUAAUAAGGGAUUGUUAUAAAGUUUAUGGUGAAUUGAAAAUAAAUUUGAAACAAUCUUUAAGAGAAAUACAACCAAGAAUUUGUCUCACAACAGACACAUGGACUUCAGUGCAAAGAAUCAAUUAUAUGUGUUUGACUUCUCACUUUAUUGAUAGAGAUUGGGUGCUUCAUAAAAGAAUAUUGAAUUUUUGGCUGAGUCUAUUAGUAAUUGUUUACUUGAUUGGAAGUUGGAUAACGUUUUUACUGUUAUGGUUGAUAAUGCCUCUUCAAAUGAUGUGGCAAUUUUAGAGUUGUCCAAAAAAUUAGAUAUGUGGGGAACUAAUUUGAUGGAAAGUAAGCAUCUCCAUGUGAGAUGUAUGGCUCAUAUACUUAAUCUAAUUGUGCAAGAUGGUUUGAAAGAAAUUGGUCCUUCUAUCAAAAAGGUGAGACAAAUGGUGAAAUAUGUUAGAUUAUCUUCUUCAAGGACAAGAAAUUUCUUGAAAUGUGUUGAAAUGCAAAAGAUAGAAUGAGAUAAGAUGUUGUCUUUAGAUGUGCCUACUAGGUGGAAUUCCACCUAUUUGAUGUUAGACACAACAGAAAAGUUUGAGAAAGAUUUUGAGAGGUUUGAUCUUUAUGAUGGUAAUUUUAAUUCUUUUCUUGCUACUGAUGUUUGUGAAGAUGGAAGUAUCGCAGGGUCAGUUCAAUAUGAAGAUUGGGCUAAUGUGAGGAAUGUCACAAAGUUUCUUGAAAAAUUUUAUGAGCUCACUUUGAAAGUUUUAGGUUCACGAUAUGUUACUUGUAAUGUUCAUUUAGAAGAUAUAUGUAAACUUGAUGCUUAUUUGAAAUUGUGUAUAGCAAGUAAUGACCUUGAUUUGAGUAAAAUGAAUUUGGGAAUGAAAGAAAAAUUCAAUAAAUAUUGGGGGACUACUGAAAAAAUGAACAUAAUGAUUUUUAUUGCUUCUGUUUUGGAUCCUCGCAAUAAAUUUGUGUAUGUUAGUUCUGAUCUUGAAGAAUUACUUGGGGAAGAAACGUAGUGAAUACGAAAGUAGAGGCUUACUUGAGAGAUUUGUUUGCGAUAUAUGUAAGUAAGUAUGGAAAAGGUUCCAAAAGUCAAGCAUCUUCAUCUGAGUCAUCUGAUUCUUCUGAUAGUGGUAUUUCUCAAAAUGUGUCCAAAAAUUCUUUGAGAACUAAGCUGCACAUGAAGAAACAAAAGAAUGAUUCUUGAAGUUUAGGUGUUAAAUCUGAGUUGGAUAAAUAUCUUCUUGAAGACCAAGAACCUGAAUCUGGAGAUUUUGAUAUUUUGAGUUGGUGGAAAGUUAAUUCUCCUAGAUUUCCAGUACUUUCACAGUUGGCUCGAGAUGUAUUGGCUAUUCCUAUGUCGAGUGUGGCAUCGGAAUGUGCAUUUAGCACCGGUGGUCGAAUUCUAGAUCCCUUUAGAAGUUCAUUGACUCCCAAAUGUGUGCAAUGUCUUAUUUGUGUCCAAGAUUGGCUUAGACAAGAAACCAAGCCUAUUUGUGUUGAAGAAAGUUUGGAGUUUCUUGAAAAAAUUGAACUUGAGAUGACAAAUAGUGGAAGAAACUCUUCCAUUGUUAAUCUAUGAUUGACUUGCAAGCGGUUCAAGGGUCAAGACAAUGAAGAAAUAAUUUUGUUGGCACGUGUCUCAUGGAAGAAAGUCAAGAAACUCAUUAUUGUUGUUUGUUAUUGUUGACAUUUGAAUUGAAAGUUAUCUCAUGGAAGAAGAUAAGAAGUUUAAAAUACAUUGUUUGUUGCUUAUUAUUGUUUAUUAUGAGUUCAUGAAAGACUUUAUUGUUACUUGUUAGAUUGUUAUUAUGUUGUAUUUGUGAAGACAUUAACUACAAAUCUAUAAUGCAACUUUUGUUUUAGUGUCA